GGAAAAAAUUUAUUGCUAUUAGAUGAGCCUAUAUUAGAUUAGCUAGUUGGUGGAGUAAUAGCCUACCAAGGCAAUGAUCUAUAGCUGAUCUGAGAGGAUGAUCAGCCACACUGGAACUGAGAUACGGUCCAGACUCCUACGGGAGGCAGCAGUGGGGAAUAUUGGACAAUGGGCGAAAGCCUGAUCCAGCUAUGCCGCAUGAGUGAAGAAGGCCUUUGGGUUGUAAAGCUCUUUUAGUGAGGAAGAUAAUGACGGUACUCACAGAAGAAGUCCUGGCUAACUCCGUGCCAGCAGCCGCGGUAAUACGGAGAGGGCUAGCGUUAUUCGGAAUUAUUGGGCGUAAAGGGCGCGUAGGCUGAUUAAUAAGUUAAAAGUGAAAUCCCGAGGCUUAACCUUGGAAUUGCUUUUAAAACUAUUAAUCUAGAGAUUGAAAGAGGAUAGAGGAAUUCCUGAUGUAGAGGUAAAAUUCGUAAAUAUUAGGAGGAACACCAGUGGCGAAGGCGUCUAUCUGGUUCAAAUCUGACGCUGAGGCGCGAAGGCGUGGGGAGCAAACAGGAUUAGAUACCCUGGUAGUCCACGCUAUAAACGAUGAAUGUUAAAUAUGGGAAGUUUAC
rnacentral:rRNA from 1 species